UUAUUGUCACAACUGGGGAAAU
rnacentral:miRNA from 1 species